rnacentral:antisense_RNA from 1 species
UUGGCGGUGAAGUCCCACGUCCCGUCCCCGGCGAGCACCUGGCCGCCGAAGGUGUCGCCGUCGCCGAGCCGUCCGAGGACGGUCUCGUCGCCGUACUGUCCGGUGCCGAGCUUCUCGAUCUUGCCGUGGGCGAUGAGGUAGACGUGGUCGGCCUGGCUGCCGGCGUGCACGACGACCUGGCCGGGCUCGUACUCCUGCUGGACGAAGCGGUCGGCGAGGGCGCCGAGCGCGGUGGGAUCGUCGAAGCCGCGAAGGAGCGGGAGUUCGGCCAGCUCGGCGGGGAUGACCUCGACCCUGGAGCCGCUCUUGACGAAGGUCACGCGGCCGUCGCCGACCACGUACGAGAGGCGCCGGUUGACCCGGUAGGUGCCGCCGGGGGUGUGGACCCAGGGGAGCUUGCGGAGCAGCCAGCGGGAGCUGAUGCCCUGCAUCUGGGGUUCGGACUUGGUGGUGGUGGCGAGGUUGCGGGCGGCGGCGGUGCUGAGGCUGAGCUGGACCUGGCGG